UACGUAGGGGGGCGAGCGUUGUCCGGAGUUACUGGGCGUAAAGGGCGUGCAGGCGGUGCGGUAAGUUUAGCGUGACAGUCUCCGGCUUAACUGGAGAAGGCCGCUGAAAACUGCUGGACUUGAGGGCCAGAGAGGGACAUAGAAUUCCGGGUGGAGUGGUGAAAUGCGUAGAUAUCCGGAGGAAUACCAAAGGCGAAGGCAGGUGUCCUGGCUGGCAACUGACCGCUGAGGCGCGAAAGCUAGGGGAGCGAACAGG
rnacentral:rRNA from 1 species